CCUUAUUGCCAGUUACUACGCAAGAGGACUCUGGCCAGACUGCCGUUGACAAAACGGACGAAAGUGGGGAUGACAUCAAAUCAUCAUGCCCUUUAUGUCCUGGGCUACGCACGUACUACAAUGGCCGUGACUGAGAGAAACGAAACAACGAUGUGGAGUAAAACUUAUCAAAGCGGUCUCAUUUCGGAUUGAAGGCUGAACUUCGCCUACAUGAAGUUGGAAUUGCUACUAAUGGCAGGUCAGCAUACUGCCGUGAAUACAUUCCCGGGCCUUGUACACUCCGCCCGUCACACCAUGAGAGUUGGAUAUACCCGAAGCCUGUGAGCUAACUUUUACAGGCAGCAGUCGAAGGUAAAGGCAAUGAUUG
rnacentral:rRNA from 1 species